UACGGAGGGUGCAAGCGUUAAUCGGAAUUACUGGGCGUAAAGGGUGCGUAGGUGGUUUAAUAAGUUAACUGUGAAAGCCCUGGGCUCAACCUGGGAAGGCCAGUUAAGACUGUUGAACUAGAGUAUGGGAGAGGGUAGUGGAAUUUCCGGUGUAGCGGUGAAAUGCGUAGAGAUCGGAAGGAACACCAGUGGCGAAGGCGGCUACCUGGCCUAAUACUGACACUGAGGCACGAAAGCGUGGGGAGCAAACAGG
rnacentral:rRNA from 1 species